CUCGUAUGCAUAAUUUCUUUAUGCAUAAAAUGUACUUACGUCAAGCUAUUAAAACUUGACGUAAGUACAUUUUAUGCAUAAAGAAACCAUUUAAG